rnacentral:lncRNA from 1 species
GAAGAAGGUACAUGGGUACAAGAAAACCGUUUAGCAAUAACGAAUCCACUCGAAAGGAAAGUUUCCACGAGAUUCCCUUUUAUCGUCUACUAAAACAAGAAAAUUCAAAAAAAGAGGUCAGUUAGUAUCCUCGAACUUCGUCCCCAGCCAGUCAGCAUUAGGGUUUUAAACACUAAACUGAUUUUUUCCUUCAGUCAGCAUUAGGGUUUUAAAACCCUAAACUGAACUCUUUUCCAUUCAGUCAGCAUUAGGUUUUUAAACUCAAAACUGAACUUUUUCCUUUAGUCAGCAUUAGGGUUUUAAACCCUAAACUGAAUUUUCCCAUUCAGUAAGUAUUAGGGUUUUAAACCCUAAACUGAACUUUUUCCAUUCAGUCAGCAUUAGGGUUUUAAACCCUAAACUGAACUUUUCCCAUUAAUCAGGAUUAGGGUUUUAAACCCUAAACUGAA